rnacentral:rRNA from 1 species
UACGGGGGGGGCAAGCGUUGUUCGGAAUUACUGGGCGUAAAGGGCCAGUAGGCGGCCAACUAAGUCCGACGUGAAAUCCCAAGGCUUAACCUUGGAACUGCGUCGGAUACUGGAUGGCUUGAAUUCGGGAGAGGGAUGCAGAAUUCCAGGUGUAGCGGUGAAAUGCGUAGAUAUCAGGAAGAACACCAAUGGCGAAAGCAGCUCUCUGGGACGGUACUGACGCUGAGACGCGAAAGCGUGGGGAGCGAACAGG